GCUAAUAUUGUCAGCGAAGUGGCGGAUGGUGAGUAAUAUGUAGGUAACGUGCCCUAGAGAAGAGGAUAACAUUUGGAAACGAAUGCUAAUACUCUAUAUGCCUUUAAGUCAUAAGACUGCAAGGGAAAUAUUUAUAGCUCUAGGAUCGGCCUGUACGGUAUCAGCUUGUUGGUGAGGUAAUGGCUCACCAAUGCAAUGACACCUAACUGGUUUGAGAGGAUGAUCAGUCACAUUGGAACUGAUACACGGUCCAGACUCCUACGUUGAGGCAUCUGUGGGGAUUAUUGCACAAUGGACGAAAGUCUGAUGCUGCAUCGCCGCGUGAAGGAUGACACAUUUCGGUGCGUAUACUCCUUUUAUAUAGUAAGAUAAUGACGGUACUAUAUGAAUAAUCGCCGGCUAUUU
rnacentral:rRNA from 1 species